UGGAAGAAGGUGUGCCCUUGAUGGUGAUGAGACUUGCUCUUUGAGCUGUUGGGGGUUGCAGAUACCAUGUGGCUGCGACUGUUUAUCAAAAACACAGCACUCUGCGAAAUCGUAAGAUGAAGUAUAGGGUGUGACGACUGCCCGGUGCUGGAAGGGUAAUUGAAGGGGUUAGCGCAAGCGAAGCUCUGGAUCGAAGCCCCAGUAAACGGCGGCCGUAACUAUAAAGGUCCUAAGGUAGCGAAAUUCCUUGUCGGGUAAGUUCCGACCUGCACGA
rnacentral:rRNA from 1 species